GGGGAUAUAGCUCAGUUGGUAGAGUGCUUGCAUUGCAUGCAUAAGGCCCUGGGUUUGAUACCCAGCACCA
rnacentral:tRNA from 1 species